rnacentral:tRNA from 2 species
GUGGCGAGCGGCAGGUGGAUGGUGUUGUCGGCGUUGUCGAUGCCCACCCGAACCUGUUCGAGCCGGAUCACGCCGUG